AGUGAAUGCUGGCGGUAGGCCUAACACAUGCAAGUCGAACGGCAGCACAGGAGAGCUUGCUCUCUGGGUGGCGAGUGGCGGACGGGUGAGGAAUACAUCGGAAUCUACCUUUUCGUGGGGGGAUAACGUAGGGAAACUUACGCUAAUACCGCAUACGACCUACGGGUGAAAGUGGGGGACCGCAAGGCCUCACGCGAUUA
rnacentral:rRNA from 1 species